rnacentral:rRNA from 1 species
AACGCGAAUUAACCUUACCUGGGCUUGACAUGCAGGAAGUAGAAACCGGAAACGGCGACGACCUGUUAAGUCAGGAACCUGCACAGGUGGUGCAUGGCUGUCGUCAGCUCGUGCCGUGAGGUGUUGGGUUAAGUCCCGCAACGAGCGCAACCCUCACCCUAUGUUGCCACCGGGUAAUGCCGGGCACUCUUGGGGAACUGCCGGCGAAGAGCUGGAGGAAGGGGGGAUGACGUCAAGUCCGUAUGCCCCUUAUGUUCACCGGCUACACACAUGCUACAAUGGCCGAUACAGAGGGUUCCCAACCCGCAAGGGGGAGGCAAUCCCACAUAACAUAAAAGAUCAUCAGUUCGGAUUGCAGGCUGCAACUCGCCUGCAUGAAGUCGGAAUCGCUAGUAAGCGCAGAUCAGCAGGCUGCGCUGAAUACGUUCCCGGGUCUUGUACACACCG